rnacentral:rRNA from 1 species
AACGGCCGCGGUAUCCUAACCGUGCAAAGGUAGCAUAAUCACUUGCCUAUUAAUUGUAGGCUAGAAUGAAUGGGUUAACGAAAUAAAGACUGUCUCAAUUAAUCACCUAAAAAUUACUAUCUAUCUGAAGAAGAGUAGAUAAUCUCGAAGGACAAGAAGACCCUAUAGAGCUUAAUUUUAAUUAUAGAACUACACUAUAAAAAUAUUCGGUUGGGGCGACCCAGGGCUAAUCAAUCACCCACUACAUAAAAGAUAAAUUAAUCAAGUAAUUGACCCCUAAAAGAUCAUAAGAACAAGCUACCUUAGGGAUAACAGGCUAAUCCCACUCAAGAGUCCUUAUCAACAGUGGGGUUUGGCACCUCGAUGUUGGCUUAGG